AGGUAUGCUGGAGGUAUCAGAAGUGCGAAUGCUGACAUAAGUAACGAUAAAGCGGGUGAAAAGCCCGCUCGCCGGAAGACCAAGGGUUCCUGUCCAACGUUAAUCGGGGCAGGGUGAGUCGACCCCUAAGGCGAGGCCGAAAGGCGUAGUCGAUGGGAAACAGGUUAAUAUUCCUGUACUUGGUGUUACUGCGAAGGGGGGACGGAGAAGGCUAUGUUGGCCGGGCGACGGUUGUCCCGGUUUAAGCGUGUAGGCUGGUUUUCCAGGCAAAUCCGGAAAAUCAAGGCUGAGGCGUGAUGACGAGGCACUACGGUGCUGAAGCAACAAAUGCCCUGCUUCCAGGAAAAGCCUCUAAGCAUCAGGUAACAUCAAAUCGUACCCCAAACCGACACAGGUGGUCAGGUAGAGAAUACCAAGGCGCUUGAGAGAACUCGGGUGAAGGAACUAGGCAAAAUGGUGCCGUAACUUCGGGAGAAGGCACGCUGAUAUGUAGGUGAAGUCCCUCGCGGAUGGAGCUGAAAUCAGUCGAAGAUACCAGCUGGCUGCAACUGUUUAUUAAAAACACAGCACUGUGCAAACACGAAAGUGGACGUAUACGGUGUGACGCCUGCCCGGUGCCGGAAGGUUAAUUGAUGGGGUCAGCGCAAGCGAAGCUCUUGAUCGAAGCCCCGGUAAACGGCGGCCGUAACUAUAACGGUCCUAAGGUAGCGAAAUUCCUUGUCGGGUAAGUUCCGACCUGCACGAAUGGCGUAAUGAUGGCCAGGCUGUCUCCACCCGAGACUCAGUGAAAUUGAACUCGCUGUGAAGAUGCAGUGUACCCGCGGCAAGACGGAAAGACCCCGUGAACCUUUACUAUAGCUUGACACUGAACAUUGAGCCUUGAUGUGUAGGAUAGGUGGGAGGCUUUGAAGUGUGGACGCCAGUCUGCAUGGAGCCGACCUUGAAAUACCACCCUUUAAUGUUUGAUGUUCUAACGUGGACCCGUGAUCCGGGUUGCGGACAGUGUCUGGUGGGUAGUUUGACUGGGGCGGUCUCCUCCUAAAGAGUAACGGAGGAGCACGAAGGUUGGCUAAUCCUGGUCGGACAUCAGGAGGUUAGUGCAAUGGCAUAAGCCAGCUUGACUGCGAGCGUGACGGCGCGAGCAGGUGCGAAAGCAGGUCAUAGUGAUCCGGUGGUUCUGAAUGGAAGGGCCAUCGCUCAACGGAUAAAAGGUACUCCGGGGAUAACAGGCUGAUACCGCCCAAGAGUUCAUAUCGACGGCGGUGUUUGGCACCUCGAUGUCGGCUCAUCACAUCCUGGGGCUGAAGUAGGUCCCAAGGGUAUGGCUGUUCGCCAUUUAAAGUGGUACGCGAGCUGGGUUUAGAACGUCGUGAGACAGUUCGGUCCCUAUCUGCCGUGGGCGCUGGAGAACUGAGGGGGGCUGCUCCUAGUACGAGAGGACCGGAGUGGACGCAUCACUGGUGUUCGGGUUGUCAUGCCAAUGGCACUGCCCGGUAGCUAAAUGCGGAAGAGAUAAGUGCUGAAAGCAUCUAAGCACGAAACUUGCCCCGAGAUGAGUUCUCCCUGACCCUUUAAGGGUCCUGAAGGAACGUUGAAGACGACGACGUUGAUAGGCCGGGUGUGUAAGCGCAGCGAUGCGUUGAGCUAACCGGUACUAAUGAACCGUGAGGCUUAACCUUACAACGCCGAAGGUGUUU
rnacentral:rRNA from 1 species